GAUAAACGCUGGCGGCGUGCAUGAGACAUGCAAGUCGAACGAAGGAUCGGGCUUGCUCGAUCCUUAGUGGCGGACGGCUGAGUAACGCGUAGGUGACCUACCCCGAAGUGGGGAAUAACUGCCCGAAAGGGUGGCUAAUACCGCAUGUGGUCGCACGUUCAUUCGUGCGAGUAAAGCCGCAAGGCGCUUCGGGAGGGGCCUGCGUCCGAUUAGCCCGUUGGUGGGGUAAUGGCUUACCAAGGCGACGAUCGGUAGGUGGUCUGAGAGGACGAUCACCCAGACUGGGACUGAGACACGGCCCAGACCCCUACGGGAGGGAGCAGUCGGGAAUUUUGCUCAAUGGGGGAGACCCUGAAGCAGCAACGCCGCGUGAGGGAUGAAGGCCUUCGGGUUGUAAACCUCUUUUGUCAGGGACGAUGAUGACGGUACCUGGCGAAUAAGCCACGGCUAACUACGUG
rnacentral:rRNA from 1 species